rnacentral:rRNA from 1 species
UGGGGAAUUUUGGACAAUGGGCGCAAGCCUGAUCCAGCAAUGCCGCGUGCAGGAUGUAGGCCUUCGGGUUGUAAACUGCUUUUGUACGGAACGAAAAAGCUCUCUCUAAUACAGGGGGUGAAUGACGGUACCGUAAGAAUAAGCACCGGCUAACUACGUGCCAGCAGCCGCGGUAAUACGUAGGGUGCAAGCGUUAAUCGGAAUUACUGGGCGUAAAGCGUGCGCAGGCGGUUUUGUAAGACAGAGGUGAAAUCCCCGGGCUCAACCUGGGAACUGCCUUUGUGACUGCAAAGCUGGAGUGCGGCAGAGGGGGAUGGAAUUCCGCGUGUAGCAGUGAAAUGCGUAGAUAUGCGGAGGAACACCGAUGGCGAUGGCAAUCCCCUGGGCCUGCACUGACGCUCAUGCACGAAAGCGUGGGGAGCAAACA